GCUGACAUAUCCCUAGGUUGGUUAAGGCGUCAGAUUUAAGCUCUGAUAUCGAAAGAUGCGUCGGUUCGAACCCGACAGCCACCA